AAAUUUUGUAUUAUUUGAUUAACGUGCUUAAGUUUUACUUGUUGACGAAGGAACCGAAAUAAACGUUGCCAGAAUUGUCCACACGUAAAAUUAGCUAGUAGGCUUAAAGUUACUCUGAACUUAUACAUGGUAUGCCAUAAAGUAUGUUUAAUGAUAGUCAAAGUUAUUACUUAAACUUAUUUAUGUAGCCUUUUGAGAGUUUCUUUCAGAAAGUAAAUUAUCUGAAAGAGAAAAGUCAUUUGGCAUGAUGGUAAUGAUUAACAUUGCAGAUGUAAAAUGUUAAAUACUGUUCUGUAUUAAAAGCUCAGUGUAAGUGUUUGAUUAACUUCCUUUGCUUUUGUUUUGUACAAAGGAAAAGCAGAACCUAAUCCAAAUAAAAAUAAACAAGCUGUUUAAAGGACUGUGUCCUACCCAGAUCCUCCUCCAAAAUAUAACCAUUCAAAAUACAAUCCAUUUGAAAAUACACUUAAACAAAUGUGAGAUGUUAUUUGUGGUGUAAAUAUCAUUACAAUUUCAUUUUAUUUACAGUUGAAGAUCAACACAAACCAAAUGAAGAUGUUGUAGAUUCUACAAACAGUAAAAAAGAAGGUAUGACAAACUGUGAUGGCACACAUCAUGACACUAAACAUCGGUAUCAAGAUGGUGUGAUUGAUCUAUACCCUAGAAUAAGCUGUGACACUGAUGCUGUGGUCACAUAAUGAACAGCCAUCUUACAGACAACCGAAAGAGGCAUAGUAUUGUUUUCUUGUGUAUUGUCAUACACCUAAAGCGGAUUUUUUGUAAUUGUACAGUUAUGGUGUUAUUCAUUCAUUAAUGUGUCCUUUCUUACCUUAAAUAACUUAUCAUUUUUUACACCUUUUGUUUUUAUUGUCUAUAUAGUAUUGUCUACAAUCCCAAAUUCUGGAUUGACGAUCCAGUUCCAGUGGGCACCCCAAUCCCAGAGAGCAUCCAUCUGAAACCAGGUGAGGUAACACAACGAAAAAAUUACCGGAUGGAGACUACCUGAUUCUUCAUCUAUGGCCUCAGCUUCAAAUGCAAGAAGUCCAGCAACUGUCUGAGUUGGUGGAUAUUCUGUCAGAGACUCCGUGGACAACGUUAUGAAUAGGUUAUUUGUCUAAGGUGAAGUAAUCUUACAGUUCUUUCACAGAAUGAUGUGAAAUUGUCUUAUGGCAAAGUUCAAUAUGAAGGGUGGUGGACAUCUGGAAAAGAAGUCUUUUAAAGGCACACCUUUGUAUUAUGUUAUUCAAGAUGCUGUGAAGAGGUGGAGCCCAAAUGCCACCGAAUCGGAAAUAGAUGCAGCUAUGGCAGACCACCUCAAGCACGCUCCAGGAAGAGCUGGGGGUGGUGGAUACAAAAAAGCCUAACAGCUGUGAUGUGUUAAAGAGAGAGUUCACCAAAAAAGGAAAAUUGUUAUAAUUUUCUUAUCCACAUGUUUCAAACCUGUAUACCUUUCUAUUUUCUGCUGAACAAAAAGAUUGAAGACUGUUUGUAACUUCACAACCCAUUAACUGUCAAUAUUUUUUUUUUUACAAUUGUAGUAAUGGGUUGUGAGAUCUGCUUUGUUAAAAACAUUCUUUCAGAUAUCUUUGUGUUCAGCAGAACAUAGAAAGGUAUACAGGUUUGAAACAUGAGAGGGAAUAAAUGACUAAAUAUAAAUUUUUGGGUGAACUAUCCCUUUAUAGAAAGUGUUUUGAAAUUGUUAUUAUAGUUAAAUGGUUAAAAAAUAAAAAGUGCUAAAUCAGAACAUGCUUCUUUUUUGGUUAUGGCGACAAAUAAUGUGUUCUUUAAUGUGUUUGUGAAGUACACGUGGUUAAAACGUUUUAUGGACGUUCAGGUCUGACUGGACCAAUUUUGAACCGAUUUUGAACCUUUGUGAAUAUGUGUUAAACCUCAAUACAAUUGAUUGCCUUUCACGAUGUUACACAGUGGGUGUAUAUUAAUUUUAUAUGCAUACAUUUAAACAAUGCAGCAACACAUUUAAACAUCCAGAAGACGGCACAUUUAGACGUCCAGGGACGGGCAGAAAAGACGUGUAAUUCACGGCCAAAUGACGUCAAAGACGUCCGCUCAACUUUAAUUUAGGGUAUUUUUCAACCGUGAUGGGACGUGACGAAGGGACGUCUUUUCAACGGUCAUAAAACGUCCAAAUGUUUGCUAUAUGGGGGCUUAAAACAUAUAUUUAAACUAUGCAGGAACACAUUUAAACAUCCAAAAGACGGCGCAUUUAGACGUCCAGGGACGUGCAGAAAAGACGUGUAAUUCACGGCCAGAUGACGUCAAAGACGUCGGCUCAACUUUCAUUUUGGAUAUAUUUUUCAACGCGGACGGGACGUGACGAACGGACGUCUUUUCAACGGUCAUCACACGUCCAAAUGUUUGUUGGGGUGUCUCAAUUCGUUCCCUAGCUCCCGAGGUCGUGAAUCAGUAUAUCGUGUACACAGGUUCGGGCACUGGUAAGGACCCUAGCUCACUUCACAUUGGGACAAUGUUCACUUAUUUUUCUGUCACGUGGCUGCUUAGCGCGUUGUGAUUAUUCACAGCUGUUACUCAUCAACAACCGGCAAAACCAACAUCUCUCUGACUUAAUUUUAAAAAACAGUACAUUGUGGAAAAUGCUGUCAUUAUUCUCUUACAUAUCUGUGCAUA